ACGAGCUUGAGAGAGGAAGUGCAAUUAUUGCUGUUUGUAAAAUGCACUCUGUUGUAUUAUAGAUAUAUGCAUUUGUUCUGUCAUUCAGUUUUGGGUCAUUCUACAGAAACGUCCACUUUUGGUAUGGCAAAAUGUCUUAAAAAUGUCUUCUUUUUUACAUUUAAACUUAGACCACAUUAUUAGAUUACCUUUUGACUUUAUGAAUACAUAUAAAUGACAGCUUAAUUAUAUAUGUUUUAGCUUUUUUGUGCAAUUAUUUCAAGACCCUGUGUAUCAUUUUUUGUCACUGGUGUUACCUUCUUUAGCAAUAUUAAAAGUUUUUAUGAAAUAUUAUUUCUAAAAAAAAAAUUUCAGCACAUAUAGUCAGAGUUACAGAAAAAUAAUGAAAAUGCAAGAAAUAAUGAGAUUAUGUUUUAUUUAUUUAAUGUGACAGACAAAAACAGUACAGUAACACAGCACAGUGACAGUAACACCAGUGACAUACAUUAGACCUGAUAUACUCAUCGUCACUGGUGUUAUCCGUAAGAAAGGUAACACCAGUGACAAUUUUCAUGAAAAAUGCAUUUUACAAAAUGUCUGCUGCAAGGUAUCAAGCCACAUGUUGUCAAUCAUGGUAUACUCACUAAAUUAAGUAGUUUAAUCCAUUUGUAUUAUAGUUUUUUUUACAUUUCCCUAACAAUAAAUAGGUCACACCAGUGACAUCAACUAAAAGCUUCAUAUGAAAUCAUGAGAUAAAUGAGAAAAUUUAUCAUAACUGAAAAGAAGCAGUGGACUAAACAUGGGCCUUUUUUCAUAGAUGUUUAGAAAAUAGGAAGGAGGAAGUCAAGUGAUGUCAUCAGUGUGAUUUUUUAUUCCAAAAUAAAAGACUUUUGUUCAGCGGUAAAACCAGUGACUCCAGGGGACCACUGUUUUCAUUAUAUAUUUUAUAAUAUUUAUUUGGCAUUUUGUUUUAUUAUGCCAUUUAUAUCAUAUAUUUGAUAGUUAUGAAUAGACUUUUGUUUUUUAAAUGGUAGAAAGUCCUGUUUUUGACCUCAAAAUAAAGCACUUUCCUGCUGUACAUGGCUGUGGGGACGAGCAGUUUUGUGGUGCUUGGAAUUCUAUAUAAUUAAUAAAAAAAUAAUAAUGCCACAUUGAUGGCUCAGGAAGGUGUAAUUGUUCAAAUAACAUAUUGUUUCAUUUUUAAAUAUAUAAAAACUUGUAACCCUAAUGUGUAUUUCAAUUGUAAUAUUUCUUUAAAGUCUAGGGACAGAAAAGUGGAUGUUUCUGUAGAAUGACCCUUUUGUGUUUUGCAAUGUGUGGGUUUUGAAUCAGUUAAAAAGUUUUGUUUAGCAUUAUUUAUGAUACAAGCAGAUAUUCACCAGACACUUGACAUUAAGAUUGUGUUUUUCUUUUUCUUCUUGUGAUCUGUUGGCUCGAAAUUCACAAAACAGUUAUACAGAUAUAAUCUUUAAUGAGAUAUGUACACAGUAAAAUCAGCAGUGUAAUAUUUGCAGGGUUAAAAGUUAUUAAUUCCCAAAGAGUUGAAUUAACAAUCUACAGUGUUAAACAGUACUCGUGUUCAGUGUUGUCACACGGUGUAAUAUUUAUGUAAUUUCACUUUUACACUGAAAGUGUAAAAAAAACCCCGCCGAAUUGAUCUGCCUGCCCCUCAGGCACCGCGGCCUCGCAGAGCGACGACGCCAUUUUAUCUUCAUGAGACCGAGGGGGUUUACAGUGUUAUGUUCGUGAGGUGCAGAGAUGCAACGUUAGCCUACAGAAGAGUGAAAGUUUCUCAGACCGUUUUCAUUUCCUGAAAUAAGAUCCUCUCUCCUUCAUUCCCGCCGAGGCCUGGUUUUACUUCGAGUCUGAAGCAGCCACAUUUGGGCGGUUUUCUACUCAGAGGAGAGAAUUCAUCAAAUGAAUUGCCCCAGACGUCUGCAGUGUCAAGUGAAGGAAGCUCCUCCCAUAAGAUUGCAGACUGGGAGUCUGAUGACACUGAGUGUGAGUGAUGGAAGCCCUUCAAGAAAGGAGCAGAAUGCUGAAGAUGAAGCCAGAAUUAACCACACACACACCUAUAUUAUAAAGUCAACUGAAAGAUUGUUUGCCCAUGCCUACUUCAACUGUUCAUUAAAAACCCUCAAUUCAGCAAUUGGUCUGGUUCCUGUGUCCUGACCGACACCUGGGAGUGAUUACCACACAAAUACGACCCGGCAUUAGAACUUAAAUACAGUCCUUCUAAGCCUCACUAACAAUAGGUCCUUCGAGCCAGAUACGUGUAAUUUUCUCUUAAGAAGAUGGAUGAUAGAUCCUCGACCAGACCUAAACGUCAGACCCUUCCUCCACGUCAUUAUGAAGAGUAUGAAAUGGGUUUUACGCUGCCACAAAGACAGUUAUCUGAAUCAACAAUCAGUAGGCAUGGGCAAGAAGAGGAGUUGUGUUCACAGGAAGAAGGAGCUGCCAUGAUAACACCCCCCAUUUUCAGCCGUCGUCAGUCAUUGAGGGACACUGACUGUACAGAGGAACGGUACAUUGCAGCAGGACAAUACAGCCAAAGACCCGGUUCUGAAUUCCAGCUGACCCAUCAGUACAUCGAGAGAGCACAGGCUGAAAGAAGCAAAUUAUCCACUCCAAGUAGUUGGUCUUCAGUACAGUACAAUCCUCCUCCAGCUCCCCAGAAAGAUCUUCAGUAAAGUAGAGAUGAGCGCCACAUUAGCUGAAAUCCGAGAGACCAGAUCUGAGUUAAGACUUCUAGCAGAGACAGUGCGCAGCCUAAAGCAGACUCCUCUUCCAGCUACAGUGUGCUCUCAGUCUAAUACAUUGGAUCCACGUAAGUCUGAUCAAUUACCAGCACUCCUUUAGACCAUGGGUGUAUACCUCCACCCUGUGAAAAGCUGAUCACUAAUGUGCAGGAUGAUGAGCAUGAUAAUGCAGACUGGCCUGAUCCCCCUCCAUGGCCAGAGACAGGAGACCCACAACCUCAGUCCGUCAGUAGCGAGCCCAUUGUCGACCUUCUGGACAAGAUGAUGAGUGAGCUUCAAGUUCUAAAACAAGCAGCUGUUAGUAAGAGUAAACCUCUUGUUGCACUGCUCUCGAACCCUCAUUACGGCAGGAUAACAAUUUCUUCUGCAUUCCACCCUGUGGGGCAGACGGCCAAUCAGCUUGAGAAUAAACACCCACAUGACACGCAGGAAGAGUCAGCCGCCCUGGGCAACUUCCUGCUUUAUUUCAUCCCAGCGUCCUGCUAGCUGAAGCCUUGAGGAACAGGGUCACGGCCGGAACCACACACACACCUAUAUUAUAAAGUCAACUGAAAGAUUGUUUGCCCAUGCCUACUUCAACUGUUCAUUAAAAACCCUCAAUUCAGCAAUUGGUCUGGUUCCUGUGUCCUGACCGACACCUGGGAGUGAUUACCACACAAAUACGACCCGGCAUUAGAACUUAAAUACAGUCCUUCUAAGCCUCACUAACAUGUGUCUUGUGCUUGUUCACUUGUGCAUCACCCAAGAUGCAUGCUAAUGCCAGGUGUGAACACAGCCACUGUGUGACUACACAAUCAGUUUAGCAGAAUGGUUCCUGAGAGAGAUAUUGUCAUUAUUUUUAUUUAUUUAUUUAUUUUCCAAGAAGCCAAGUUCCUGGCUUUUCCCAAGACCUUCAAGGACACGCUUGACCUCGGAAUCAGCUGUAAAGGAGGAUGAAACUAAGAAUGGGACAGCGAUAUUGCAUCAAUUUGUCUCCUUCAUUUGAUUCCACCACCACAAGGCUGCAAGGGACCUGGAGAAAUGUCCUCCUAUCAAGCUGAAAAACAUCUUCAAAAAGGCACUAAUAAGAAGAAUACCCUGUAGAGACCACACAGCCAUACCUGCUCGCUGAUGGGACAACGAGGAACAUCAUUCAUGGAUGCUACACAACUGUCGACAAGUAUCUUGCUGCAGUCUUGUUUAAAUCUACCUGUCAUAUUUGUUAAUGUCUAGGUAAAUUUAAUGAUUUUAUGUGUUUUAUUAACUAUUUUAUGUUUCCGUGCAACACUUAAUGAAUGUGACUAAUUAACCUCUACACAUCUGGUAUGUGCUUUAAAGUUGCCACUUUGCCCAUUUGUUAAAUAAA